UACAGAGGGUGCGAGCGUUAAUCGGAAUUACUGGGCGUAAAGCGCGCGUAGGCGGCUUUGCAAGUCGGGUGUGAAAUCCCCAGGCUUAACCUGGGAACUGCAUUCGAGACUGCAUUGCUAGAGUAUGGGAGAGGGAAGUGGAAUUUCCGGUGUAGCGGUGAAAUGCGUAGAUAUCAGGAGGAACACCGGUGGCGAAGGCGGCUCUCUGGACGGUGACUGACGCUGAGACGCGAAAGCGUGGGGAGCAAACAGG
rnacentral:rRNA from 1 species